UUGGAGGGCAAGUCUGGUGCCAGCAGCCGCGGUAAUUCCAGCUCCAAUAGCGUAUAUUAAAGUUGUUGCAGUUAAAAAGCUCGUAGUUGAAUUUCGGGAUCAAUUUGUCGGUCGUGCCUCGGUACGUACUGGCAUUAUUGGUUUCUACCUUCUGAAGAACCUUGAUGUCAUUAAUUUGGUGUCUUGGGGAAUCAGGACUGUUACUUGUAAAAAUUAAGUAGUGUUUAAAGUACAGG
rnacentral:rRNA from 1 species